GUAGCCAUGAGGGGCUUCGGUCCGGGCGUUUCCAUGCGUCCGGUGAAAAGGGAACGUGGUGCGAAUCCACGACUGCCCCCGCAACUGUAAGCGGCGAGCGUGACCGGCACAUGCCACUGGGGAGAGCCCCGGGAAGGCCCGGUUCACGCGACGACCCGCGAAGUCAGGAGACCUGCCGAAGUGAUCACCCUGUC
rnacentral:ncRNA from 2 species